rnacentral:lncRNA from 1 species
AAUGGAGCUUGGAAUGCAUGUCACAUAUUUGGAACCAAGGUUUGGACGAAAUUGAAGACUUAAAGAGGCUAAGAGUGUGAAGAAUUAGUGUACAAAGGAUCAUGAACUCAGCCACAAAAGAACACACAUCCUUGCCGUGCAAUCCACAUAGCAUUCCUUUUGGAUUCCCAUGCAUGCUUAAUCAUCCUUGUCCCCUAAAAUAUUUCUGAUUUCAUGCCUCAAU